ACGCUCGACACCUACGGGAGCAGCAGUGGGGAAUAUUGCACAAUGGGGGAAACCCUGAUGCAGCGACGCCGCGUGGAGGAAGAAGGUCUUCGGAUUGUAAACUCCUGUUGUUGGGGAAAAAGAGGAUGGUACCCAACAAGGAAGUGACGGCUAACUACGUGCCAGCAGUCGNGGUAAUCUGAGCGGGCUGGCAAGGC
rnacentral:rRNA from 1 species